UACGUAGGGCGCAAGCGUUAUCCGGAAUUAUUGGGCGUAAAGAGCUCGUAGGCGGUCUGUCGCGUCUGCUGUGAAAACCUAGGGCUUAACUCUGGGCGUGCAGUGGGUACGGGGCAGGCUAGAGUGCGGUAGGGGGAGACUGGAAUUCCUGGUGUAGCGGUGAAAUGCGCAGAUAUCAGGAGGAACACCGGUGGCGAAGGCGGGUCUCUGGGCCGUAACUGACGCUGAGGAGCGAAAGCAUGGGGAGCGAACAGG
rnacentral:rRNA from 1 species